GAUGAAGAACGCAGCGAAAUGCGAUAAGUAAUGUGAAUUGCAGAAUUUAGUGAAUCAUCGAAUCUUUGAACGCAUAUUGCGCCCGCUAGCACUCUGGCGGGCAUGCCUGUUCGAGCGUCAUUACAACCCUCAGGCCCCCGGGCCUGGCGUUGGGGAUCGGCGGAGCCCCCCGUGGGCACACGCCGUCCCCCAAAUACAGUGGCGGUCCCGCCGCAGCUUCCAUCGCGUAGUAGCUAACACCUCGCGACUGGAGAGCGGCGCGGCCACGCCGUAAAACACCCAACUCUUCUGAAGUUGACCUCGAAUCAGGUAGGAAUACCCGCUGAACUUAAGCAUAUCAAUAAGCGGAGGA
rnacentral:misc_RNA from 1 species